GGCUGUAGUUGGGCUCUAGAUGGUGUUCCUAAAUGGAAACAAGACCUCUGGAAUUGUUAAGCUAUUGAUCAGCAUCUGGGUGACUUGUUUAAUAACUUCUUUCUUUUCAGCGGCGGAGGGACAAGAUGCACCGCAAAGAGCGACGGAGGAGGCGAGUGGAGCGCUGUAAGAAGGCGUGACGUGGCGAGCAAAGCAGGAUAUAUCGGCACCGGAGGUGGCGCGCAAGCCUCAACGUGGCAGCCCAAAACGACGGAGGCCGGACGGGCGAGCGGCCAAGG